CGUGCCGGGAGCGGGGACGCCCUGCCCUCCGAGGUUGCUCUGCCCUCCGAGGUCGCCCGCAGCUGCCGCCCGCUCUGGGCUUGGGGACCUCGGCCCUGCGCCUUUCCGCACUCCUGGCAGGUGCAGCCCCAGGAGGCAAUGGGGCAGGCAAACUGGAUGGUGCCCCAGGUGUAGCAAGCUUGGAAGGCUUCAAAGGACGGGACAAGUUUGGCCUGGACAAGUUUCCUCCUAGAAGUCACUUAAUCUGCAAAAUCAAGAUAAGACCAUUUUCCCCAUGUGACUUGACAAGACAAUAUUAAAGCUCAAGGCGCUGAAGACAUAAGCUGUAUUGUAAAGCUAUGUGUUAGCUCAGAACUACGUCUUCAGUGACAACAUAAUGAAGACUAGACGUGACCCUUGACUUUAAGAGCUUGAUCGUGCAUAGGAGGGACAGCAUCUUGGAAAGCAUGUAUAAGAUGUGCCUGCCUCCGCUUCACCUACCACCAUGGUUGUAAGUUACCUGAGGUCUCCCCAGCCAUGCUUCUUAUACAGCCUGUGGAAAUGUG
rnacentral:lncRNA from 1 species